AUUGAACGCUGGCGGCAGGCUUAACACAUGCAAGUCGAGCGGAUGAAAGUAGCUUGCUACUGGAUUCAGCGGCGGACGGGUGAGUAAUGCUUAGGAAUCUGCCUAUUAGUGGGGGACAACGUUCCGAAAGGAGCGCUAAUACCGCAUACGUCCUACGGGAGAAAGCAGGGGACCUUCGGGCCUUGCGCUAAUAGAUGAGCCUAAGUCGGAUUAGCUAGUUGGUAGGGUAAAGGCCUACCAAGGCGACGAUCUGUAGCGGGUCUGAGAGGAUGAUCCGCCACACUGGGACUGAGACACGGCCCAGACUCCUACGGGAGGCAGCAGUGGGGAAUAUUGGACAAUGGGGGGAACCCUGAUCCAGCCAUGCCGCGUGUGUGAAGAAGGCCUUUUGGUUGUAAAGCACUUUAAGCGAGGAGGAGGCUACCUAGAUUAAUACUUUAGGAUAGUGGACGUUACUCGCAGAAUAAGCACCGGCUAACUCUGUGCCAGCAGCCGCGGUAAUACAGAGGGUGCGAGCGUUAAUCGGAUUUACUGGGCGUAAAGCGUGCGUAGGCGGCCAAUUAAGUCAAAUGUGAAAUCCCCGAGCUUAACUUGGGAAUUGCAUUCGAUACUGGUUGGCUAGAGUAUGGGAGAGGAUGGUAGAAUUCCAGGUGUAGCGGUGAAAUGCGUAGAGAUCUGGAGGAAUACCGAUGGCGAAAGCAGCCAUCUGGCCUAAUACUGACGC
rnacentral:rRNA from 1 species